GCUUGGCGUUGGUUGUCCAAGUUUAAGGUGGUAGGCUGAAAUCUUAGGUAAAUCCGGGGUUUCAAGGCCGAGAGCUGAUGACGAGUCGUCUUUUAGAUGACGAAGUGGUUGAUGCCAUGCUUCCAAGAAAAGCUUCUAAGCUUCAGGUAACCAGGAACCGUACCCCAAACCGACACAGGUGGUCGGGUAGAGAAUACCAAGGCGCUUGAGAGAACUCGGGUGAAGGAACUAGGCAAAAUGGCACCGUAACUUCGGGAGAAGGUGCGCCGGCUAGGGUGAAGGAUUUACUCCGUAAGCUCUGGCUGGUCGAAGAUACCAGGCCGCUGCGACUGUUUAUUAAAAACACAGCACUCUGCAAACACGAAAGUGGACGUAUAGGGUGUGACGCCUGCCCGGUGCCGGAAGGUUAAUUGAUGGGGUUAGCGCAAGCGAAGCUCUUGAUCGAAGCCCCGGUAAACGGCGGCCGUAACUAUAACGGUCCUAAGGUAGCGAAAUUCCUUGUCGGGUAAGUUCCGACCUGCACGAAUGGCGUAACGAUGGCGGCGCUGUCUCCACCCGAGACUCAGUGAAAUUGAAAUCGCUGUGAAGAUGCAGUGUAUCCGCGGCUAGACGGAAAGACCCCGUGAACCUUUACUGUAGCUUUGCACUGGACUUUGAGCCUGCUUGUGUAGGAUAGGUGGGAGGCUUUGAAGCGUGGACGCCAGUUCGCGUGGAGCCAUCCUUGAAAUACCACCCUGGCAUGCUUGAGGUUCUAACUCUGGUCCGUAAUCCGGAUCGAGGACAGUGUAUGGUGGGCAGUUUGACUGGGGCGGUCUCCUCCUAAAGAGUAACGGAGGAGUACGAAGGUGCGCUCAGACCGGUCGGAAAUCGGUCGCAGAGUAUAAAGGCAAAAGCGCGCUUGACUGCGAGACAGACACGUCGAGCAGGUACGAAAGUAGGUCUUAGUGAUCCGGUGGUUCUGUAUGGAAGGGCCAUCGCUCAACGGAUAAAAGGUACUCCGGGGAUAACAGGCUGAUACCGCCCAAGAGUUCAUAUCGACGGCGGUGUUUGGCACCUCGAUGUCGGCUCAUCACAUCCUGGGGCUGAAGCCGGUCCCAAGGGUAUGGCUGUUCGCCAUUUAAAGUGGUACGCGAGCUGGGUUUAGAACGUCGUGAGACAGUUCGGUCCCUAUCUGCCGUGGACGUUUGAGAUUUGAGAGGGGCUGCUCCUAGUACGAGAGGACCGGAGUGGACGAACCUCUGGUGUUCCGGUUGUCACGCCAGUGGCAUUGCCGGGUAGCUAUGUUCGGAAAAGAUAACCGCUGAAAGCAUCUAAGCGGGAAACUUGCCUCAAGAUGAGAUCUCACUGGGAACUUGAUUCCCCUGAAGGGCCGUCGAAGACUACGACGUUGAUAGGCUGGGUGUGUAAGCGUUGUGAGGCGUUGAGCUAACCAGUACUAAUUGCCCGUGAGGCUUGACCAU
rnacentral:rRNA from 1 species